CACAUAGAUUUAUAAAAUUUCAAUUUACAUGAAAAUCGUCUGAAAUUUUUAAUUUUUUUCUAAAAAUUAUUUAAGUAUAAUUGUUUAAAAAAUAUAUUUAAACUAUAACUUCAUGUAUUUAUAAAAUUAGUAAUCUAGGAUGCCGUUUAAAAUUAGGCAAUUGUUUCAUACCCAAAAAUAAGGAAAUGUAACAUUUUAAAAUAUAUGAUUCCAAAAGUAUUUACGCAUCUUUUUUUGUAAAAAUAAAUAUUUUAUGCACAAUUUGACUAACCUUAUAAAUACAGGAUGAUUCAUUAAGCAUUCAUUUCACCCCAUUUUUAGGACUGCAAAAUAUAUGUAUGGUUGUUCUAGAUUAUUGUAUUAUAUCUUAUGUAAAGGGCUUGUCCCGUUAAACUUAAUAAAUAAAAUAAAAAAAAUAUUCAAAUUCUGAUUUUUAGAAUUUUAAAAUAUAGUUGAUGAUAUUAUAUAAAAAUACCAACUUUGAUUUUUCAAAUGAGAACCUUUUACAAAAAUUUCAUAAAUACAAAGAGUAUUAAAUAAAAUAAAUUUUGGUGUUGAAAUUUUUGACUUCCCUUAAUUCAUUCACGAGAUAUUCAACUUUCAAGUUUAGGCUGGGGGAAAUAGUGGAGCAUAAUUUGUGUAGUGGCACAGUGCCUGGUUUUUGAAUAGGGCUUCACUACUUUUACCCAUCCUAAUCUUGUGAACAAAUCAACAGAAACCAAAGUUGGCAUCAUCAACAGUAUACUCUUUAAAUAUUGUGAAGAAUUUAAGUAUAUAAAAAUAUUGUCUUUAACUACACUUAAAAAUUCCUGAAAUUAGAAUUUAUAUAAAUGUAUGAUUUACCACUAAAAAUGUGGUGAUGCUUAAUGAAUCACCUCACAAGCAUAUACGCUAUAUAUAAUG